rnacentral:rRNA from 1 species
UGGUAGUGUAUUGGACAUCCAUGGCUGUCACGGGUAACGGAGAAUUAGGGUUCGAUUUCGGAGAAGGAGCCUGAGAAACGGAUAAUACAUUUAAGGAAGGCAGCAGGCGGGUAAAUUACCCAAUCCUAAAUCAGGGAGGUAGUGAUCAAGAUAUAACAACGUGGAGUUAAAUCCGCGAUUGUAGUGAGGUUAUUCCAAACCGAAAUUAUAGUACGAUUGGAGGACAAGUAUUGGUGCCAGCACCCGCGGUAAUUCCAGUUCCAAUAGCGUAUAUUAAAGUUGUUGCAGUUAAAAAGCUCGUAGUUGGAUUUCUAGGGAAAGGGAUGAAACCCGAUGUGUACUAGUCCAUUCUGGGACAGUUACUGUGAGAAAAUUAGAGUGUUUCAAGCAGGCUUUUGCAGGAAUACAUUAGCAUGGAAUAACGAAUGUUUUUAGAAUCUUGGUUAGUUCUAAGUAACGAUUAAUAGGGACAGUUGGGGGCAUUAGUAUUUAAUUGUCAGAGGUGAAAUUCUUGGAUUUGUUAAAGACUAAGC